CCCCUGGUGGCGAAACGGUUAGACGCGGUAGACUCAAAAUCUACUGCCUGUACAGGCAUGAGAGUUCGACUCUCUCCUGGGGGAC
rnacentral:tRNA from 1 species